UGGGAAAUGUCCCGCCCCUUACCAUAACCGCCAGUUUCAACACACUACUAACUAACUCAAGCAGGCCCCGCCCCUUUCUUCUGAAUAUACAGACACAAAUAGAUAAAGUGCAAUAAAAUAAACACUUGUGGAGCUCAGAGCGGUUUGGCCUGUAGUGUCUUGCCUUGAGCGUGUCUUUUGUCAUUGUAUCGUUGUGUCGGUUGUUGAAUUAUGAUCUCAGGAAGUUCUGAAUCAGUUCAGAGUGAAGAUCGAGAAUCAAACACACACAGAUCUGAUUCUCUCCAUCAUCAUUGAACAGUCUCUGUGUUUCUCAUCCACACCGUCCAUCAUUCACACUCGAUCACAGAAGGAUUUGAUUCGAUAAACUGCUUCCAAACCCUCCAGAGCUUCAGACUCCUGAGACUGGAAUCAUGGGAAAUACUGACCUGUGAUCAGUCUUGUGUAGCUGUUUAUUGAAGGUUUGCCUUGGUAAAAGGUCAUCAGAGGUCAAAGCAGAGGCAUUGAAUCGCCAUACGGACUCAUUCCCAGCUAACAGGAUGUUCUCUUAAUGUUAUGAACAAACAUUAGUAGAACGUUCAUUCAAAGUUAUCUGGUCUUUAAUAAUGUUCUCAAAACAUUUGCACAAAACAUCGUUCAUGGAAGGUUUUUACCUGAAACGUUUUAGUUGGAUGUUCAUCUAACGUUCAGAGAACAUUCUAAAGUAACGUUCCCUUCAUAUUCGCACACACAAAAAAAUCUAGGUUUUGAACGUUUUUCAUAAAUAAUGUUUUUAUAAAUUUAGCUAAAUGUUCUUAGAACAUACUUGUUGGCUGGGUUCAGACCUGAACGAUCUGUAUUUGAUGAUUUUGACGAGAAGGACAGAAUCAGAGUUUCCUAAAGCUGUGAAAAUGAGCUGAAGACGGAACGAAUCGGAAGCAGCGACUGAAUCCCGAAUCUCUGAAUCGUUCGAUACGGACUCGCUUAAGCAUCGUACAUUUACACGGACCUCAAAUCUACAGUGAUCAAUGUUUAUUUUUACAAUAAAGUCAAACAACUGAUGAUAUAAUCAUUCAUGAGACAGAUCAACGUUAUUUUUAUGAAACAGUGAUUCUGUGUAACGAAUGCGUUUGAAGGAGCAUUUCUGGAGAUAUUGAUCUGUUAUUGAUUGCUGAAAUAAAACAAGUGGUACUUGAACAUGUUCAACAGUCUAUUAAAACAUUUAGAGCUGCUCUUCAUCCGAUAAAAUGGCUCAUCCAGAACAGAAACUUCAUAAUCGCCACUUGAGACUGUAUGAAUGGAGUGAAAUAAAAUACUUUAAAACAUACAUAUUAAAACUGUAUAAAUAGUG